AAUUCUCAACCUUCUCGGUUUUCUUCUGGACACCGAAGGAGGCUUGGACAUUGGAGGCCUUUGCUGGCGUCUCUUAGACCCAGCUCCUCUUAAAUGAAUUAGCGGGGUCCUCUUUGCCGAUCCUUGACAUGUGAUAAGAUGUUUCCAUGACUUGGUUUCUGGCUCUGUUGCAUUUGGGACCCGCUUCUAACCGUCUCGACGAGACAACGUUUGGGCGUGUCUCCCUUCUCGGGAGACUCUCUCAACCCCCACGAAC
rnacentral:misc_RNA from 1 species